rnacentral:rRNA from 1 species
GACGAACGCUGGCGGCGUGCCUAAUACAUGCAAGUCGAACGCUUCUUUCCUCCCGAGUGCUUGCACUCAAUUGGAAAGAGGAGUGGCGGACGGGUGAGUAACACGUGGGUAACCUACCCAUCAGAGGGGGAUAACACUUGGAAACAGGUGCUAAUACCGCAUAACAGUUUAUGCCGCAUGGCAUAAGAGUGAAAGGCGCUUUCGGGUGUCGCUGAUGGAUGGACCCGCGGUGCAUUAGCUAGUUGGUGAGGUACGGCUCACCAAGGCCACGAUGCAUAGCCGACCUGAGAGGGUGAUCGGCCACACUGGGACUGAGACACGGCCCAGACUCCUACGGGAGGCAGCAGUAGGGAAUCUUCGGCAAUGGACGAAAGUCUGACCGAGCAACGCCGCGUGAGUGAAGAAGGUUUUCGGAUCGUAAAACUCUGUUGUUAGAGAAGAACAAGGACGUUAGUAACUGAACGUCCCCUGACGGUAUCUAACCAGAAAGCCACGGCUAACUACGUG